rnacentral:rRNA from 1 species
GAUGAACGCUGGCGGCGUGCCUAAUACAUGCAAGUCGAGCGAACAGACGAGGAGCUUGCUCCUCUGACGUUAGCGGCGGACGGGUGAGUAACACGUGGAUAACCUACCUAUAAGACUGGGAUAACUUCGGGAAACCGGAUCUAAUACCGGAUAAUAUAUUGAACCGCAUGGUUCAAUAGUGAAAGACGGUUUUGCUGUCACUUAUAGAUGGAUCCGCGCCGCAUUAGCUAGUUGGUAAGGUAACGGCUUACCAAGGCAACGAUGCGUAGCCGACCUGAGAGGGUGAUCGGCCACACUGGAACUGAGACACGGUCCAGACUCCUACGGGAGGCAGCAGUAGGGAAUCUUCCGCAAUGGGCGAAAGCUUGACGGAGCAACGCCGCGUGAGUGAUGAAGGUCUUCGGAUCGUAAAACUCUGUUAUUAGGGAAGAACAAAUGUGUAAGUAACUAUGCACGUCUUGACGGUACCUAAUCAGAAAGCCACGGCUAACUACGUG